rnacentral:misc_RNA from 1 species
UGAAGAUGAGGCGCACGUUCUAUGGCGAUGGAGUAAGAACGCGCAAACUGUCGGAACGACGAAGCGCGGAUAGUCGAGCGGACGAUCGUGGGUUCAUCGUGGCCGGCGUCGGACUAGCGGAUUCUGUCUGGUCUCCAUCUGUCUCGUCGCCGGCGUUCCCGGCUCGAGCGCCCGAAUCGACGCGGCUACCACGCGCGGUGCCGUUAUGACAGAUCCGCGCGUCGCCGCAUAUCGUACGCGAUCCGGCGAGUCGUGUGGCGGUCCCCUCGCGCGAGUGAUAGAUCCCGUCGAAUAAUGGCGCGCCGGGACCCUGACGAGUAGCUCAGCUGACAGCCGCGUCAGACAAAAUGGUAGCCCGCCGUGGCCGUGCACCGGGAGGUGAUACGUUUCCGCAUACGUGAACUCGAGCCCGGGGCGGGACGGGCGGGACGGGGAGGUUUAGGCUACGAUGAGUACUGACAGUCAUGAUCAGACGAAACCUUGCAAAACACUCGCGAGGAGCGAAGAAGAGAGUGCGUUUGACGGUAAACGGAUUAAAAAAGAGCGCAGUGAUAUUUGCGUGGAGAAUGGCGACGCCGCCGUCGCCUCCACUGCCUCCUCCUCCGCCGCUACCGUCGCCACCUCCGUCACCACCGUCGUGGAGAAACGACAGCUGCCGGCCGGCAGGUUCGCGUCGAAUGGCUUUCACGGGGAUGGUGAUCUGCUGCAGGACCUUGUCACGACGAAGGUCACUACGCUGGCUAACCACGGAGCUUCCUCCAAGCAGGACAAGAUCCGGAUUAUGAUAGAGGAUGGCAUUAGCGAAGAAUCUAGGGUGCGCGUGGACGAAAUCUUCUCGCAGGUAGAACGACUCAAGAUAGAAGAAAGAUUAUUGUUGUACCUGAAACUUCCGUUACUGCUGACAAAUCCGAGUGGAACCGUCGAUCCGCUGAGGCAGCCGUUAAAUCCAUUAGGAAAUCGUUAUGAAAUUCAUCAGACUAUCAUGUGGAUUAAGACACACUUGGAAGAAGAUCCUGAUGUGUCUUUACCAAAGCAGGAAGUCUAUGACGAAUACAACAUGUAUUGCUUAAGGAAUUCUAUGAAACCGUUAUCGACGGCGGAUUUUGGAAAAGUCAUGAAACAGGUGUAUCCGCGAGUGCGCCCUCGAAGGUUGGGCACACGGGGCAACUCUCGCUACUGCUAUGCGGGUAUGCGCAAGCGAAUUAAAUUGGAUCCUCCAACACUGCCAAAGAUAUCUGGCUCUCAAACUGAGGAGCAUUCGGAGGAGAAUAUUACUGAGGAAAUGUUAGGCGCUGCGUCUACAUUGAUAAGAGAAUGGGCGGAGAGCGUGUUAGGCCUGAAAUUUCCAAAUUUGAGUGCCUUAGCGCGGCAUCUUGUUGAUAAUUUUCGUGUCGAUACUCGAUCUCUGGCUGCUGUAUGCAUUCUUUCUGCUGCGGUCGAGGCUAGUGCUUCAUCUAAUAAAGAGGCGAUCUCGGAUCUACCGACGACGCCUGUGAGCGGUAAGCCUGCCAAACUUCGAGAGGCGCAGUUACAGUUGCAACGGAAACUUCAGCAACGCGAGCAUAUAAAGGAUCAGAAGCAUCGUCAUCUUGACACAGUGACUAUUAUACAGAACAAAGAGAAAGCCGUCGACGGUAAAGGAAACGUUGGUAAGGGAAGCAAGAAGGUCAACAAGUCCAAUCAAUCACCUCAAGGUACAAACGCGUUAACGGCGACAACAGAGGCCGCGCAAAAGCUGAACGUGUCAGCGGUAGUUUACAACCGGCAAAAGAAAGUAACGAAGACUUGCAACCAACAGCAACAGCAGCAGCAGCAGUCCCGCAAUGUCUCCCAGGAGUCUAACUGUGAUAAUCUAGUGGUACAAUCGCGCGAAGAUGGACAGAGUAAUAGCAACUCCAGAGUAAUGUCGGGCGCGCAGCGCGAUGUCAAAGGUAAAAAUUCCAGGAAACGUGCCAAUAAUCCGAUUGUAACGCAGGAGUCCAGCCCCGAGAAGCAAACGAAGCUCACGGAGGAGAGCCCAGAGCAUUCCAGCGUUUUGCUACCCAAGUUAACGUCCAUCCGCGGCGGCAAGAUAUCGGUGAUACUAGCUAGCAAUCCGAAGUCUAUCAAGUGUAAAACGGUUGAGGCUGCGGACAGCCAGCUCGUUAAAAACUGUGAUAUUAACUCGUCGAGGAGUGCUUCAGCCACUGGCGCGGUGGAGGUGUCCUCAGGACUCCUUACGAGGGACCAGAUUCGCCUCUUGCAGGAUACGCCGGUCUUCAAGGACGAGAGGCUGCGCAGCAUCGACACAGACGCGCUGGACGAUUAUCUGAACGGCGGGAACAAUUCGCAGGAGCAGGAGGAGGAGUUAUUACAAUACUUUCAACAGAGCAGCUCGUCCAGUUCGGACGUGGAGACCGGCGUUGUCAGUUCCGACACCGAUCAGGUGUCCCGAUCAGACAAGGUAUCGCAGUUACGGUUGAUAUUACAACAGAAUCUGAAAGGAUCUACCGUCACCGCCGACCUGGUGCCCGCGACCGUCGUCCGGCAAUCCGUUGCUGCGGAGAAGCGCGAUUCCUCGCAGAAACACAAUCUUAUAUUACCGACACUUUUGAAUCAUCCUAAUCCAGGUAGCACGCGUCGUCGCGUCAGUUUUGAAACCAGUGUCGUCGAACAUGUACAGGAAACGACGACGCCGACCGUGGCCAACACUGUGCCGCAGAGUCCCAACACGCGGCGUAGGAUAUUCAACUUCACCCCGAUCUCACCCGGGCCGCAUUCUCCGAUCAACGGCCGUGCGUCCAAGUCGAACUCGGCGAACGCGAGUCCCUUCGUGUCGCCGCGCAACACUCCGGUGCCAAGAUCGCGCAGCAACCUGCAAGCCGGCAGCUCCAGAUCGCGCGGCCAAAAGAUGCUUUCCCGCUCGAUAUCGUGCAGUGUGCCGUACACCGUCAAAACGACAGACACUUUCAUUGUACCGACAUCCAGUGGAACGGAAUCCGCGCGACAUAUGCUGACGGUGGCAACGACCAAGUCGUCGGAGGUCGUUUUGAAGGGACCGCCGUGCACUGCGUUUUUGGACCUGACGCCUCAAAAGCAAUUGCUAAUCAAUUAUCCAAGCCAAGAGAAUCUGCAGGAAAUCAAGAAUGUGUACCAGAGUAGCCAGAAGAGCCAGCCAGCCCCGCCCGACCAAGAGAUCACGGAACUUCUCCACGCUGGCAGACACUUGAGCAACGAGCAAUUAUUUUAUCGCUCGCAGUCCGUGCCGUUGCACAGGAUGGUGAAUCCCGUGUCCUUGAUGUCACCGAUCUCCGCGCAGCACUGUUUGUCGACGGUGCAGAGUCAGAGCUUCAAUCCGUCGACGAACAGCUCCGUUGCGCCCACGCCAGUGCCGAGCGAGUACAAUGAUUUCGGAUCCACCAUCGGACAAGAGGGUGCGUAUCUGUUGGACGACGCGAAUUUCAUAUCGGACGACCAACAGUUUCUGAUGACGGACAAGGGAAUCACGUCGGAGAACAUCAAUAAUAUCCUGACGAUUUUGGACGAGGAAGGUCAGUCGAGUCUGCAAAUGCUGCCGGAACAGACGACGGAGGAAACGUUGAGCAGCGCGAUCGUUCUCGACGCCCUACCAAAUGCCAAUUUGAAUCUAUCGGAGGAGGACAUACUGGAUGCGUCCAGCAUUCUUGACGAUCCCGGCGGCGCGUUGCAGAAGAUAAUUCAAUCGCGCUCGUACCCGAACACGCCGCUGCCUGCACCGGUGUCGGCGUACGCGCCGUCGUACACCGAGGACAGCAACGGCUCCAGAUCGUAUCCGUCGACUCCUCUGCACACGGUGCAAUCCCAGGAGGUGUACCAGGAUCCAGGCGAGCCGAUACUCUCCAGUCCCAUCCUUAAUUCUCUCAGCUUACAGAGCGACACGACGAACGUUACUGUUGCCGCCGUUACCAGCACCGCGAGCGACGUUGACGUUGCCGCCGCUUCUUCCAACAGCCUUUGUCGAAACGUCGCCGAUCUUUUGGAGGCGAGUUUCCUCGGGGAGGCCGACGCAGAGACGGAUGAUUUGGACCCGCUCGCUAAUUUUGACGGCCUGCAAGAUGUAGACUCGUUGACGCCGCUAUUCAACGAAGUCGCGGAGCCUAAUUGUUGAGACCGUUACUUCGAUCUAUCAUAAGUUCGCAUUUGCACAGGGAGAGGUGUGUGAUAAAAAUGUGCUUUGGUCCGGUGGUUCUCAAUCAUAUUAUCUCAUAGAUCAUUUUAGAGUUAAACGACCAUUUUAAAGAGGAGCUUAGAAGCAUCAUGAUCUAUAAGUGAAUUUUAAUAAGUACUAAGAAAUUAUUAUUCGAUUUUAAGAUGUAGGAUAUUUCCGAUUAGAUUUAUCGUAUCUCUUACGAUAUUAUUCGACGGCGCGCGACGAACAGAGAAACUUCAAGUAUUUUAUUAUUUUUUAUUACAAAUUGUGUAUAGCUUUUUCUUGUAAAAGAAGUUACUUCACAGCUUAUGAUAUAGAAAUUAUAUUCAGUUACACGCAAUUUACUAUUCAGGCUACAUUGAUAACUGUUUAAUGUUUAUCGCAAUAAAGGGUAAUAUGCAAAAACUCAACAUUUCUAGACAAAUUCGCGAGAUUUUUAAAGCGAGUACAUGUUUUUAAAUUAUUAAAGAUUAUACUUCGUUAAGUAUAUGAUAUAUAUCAUUAAAGAGGAAUGUUUGUUUUUUCUAUGAAAUUUUCUUUUAUUCCUCGUCGAAACUUACGAGAUCCCCCUCGCGCAACGUGAAAUCGAUCGAAACGUAGUAUGUUUUAAACUCUGUAUGCUAUUCUCGAAUAUAUAUACUCAACACUUCUCAUGCGGAUAUAAGUUAGAAUAUUUUACCUAUAUCCGGAGAGUUCCGAGACUGCUUAUAAAUACGGGAUACAACCGUAUUCUGGUAUGCUAAGGAUUUCCCUCAAAUAGCAUAUUAUAAUUUGUAUGAUACUAGAGGAAAGAAAAAUAUUGAGAAACAAAAAUAUUCAGAUAUUUUUUACUAUAUAUUUAUUUGCGAUAAAUUCAGUCUUUGAACUUUUGUAUGUAGAUAUUCAAAUAUAUACUGGUCACUGUGUCUCAAAUGUUUCGAUGAUAAAUAAAGUUUAAUUUGUUUGUAUAUUUUGAUAUUUUAAGAAGGCACUAAAUUAUCGAUUCUUAUUAAUUUUUAUUGUAUUGUAAUCUCUAAUUAACAGACUAUUCAGUUAGUUAAUUUUUAAUUGUUAUUCCAUAGGACGGCUAGCUAUCCGAUAUCUAGACGAAACGUGACAAAAUCUAUAUACGUCUGAAUCUAAGAACUAAAAGGAUCCAAAGGGAAGUUUCCAGGUGCUGGAAGGGUUGAGAACCACUCGUGCGACUUUAAAAAAAAAAAAA